GGAGUUUGGACCGUGUCUCAGUUCCAAUGUGGGGGACCUUCCUCUCAGAACCCCUACUGAUCGUCGGCUUGGUGGGCCGUUACCCCACCAACUACCUAAUCAGAAGCGUGCUCACCCAUAGUCCUUACGUUUCAUCACAAAGUCAUGCGGCUUCGUGACACAUGGAGUGUUAAUUCAGCUUUCGCUGGGCUAUCCCCCGACUAUGGACAGAUUGCACACCUGUUACGCACCCGUGCGCCGGUCGCCGGCAAUUAAAGCAAGCUUCAAUCCCGCUGCCCCUCGACUUGCAUGUGUUAGGCCUGUCGCUAGCGUUCAUC
rnacentral:rRNA from 1 species